GUCAGCCGCGAACGAGGACGCCGC
rnacentral:piRNA from 1 species